CUCUCGGUGGCCAAGUUGGUUUAAGGCGUCAGACUGUAAAUCUGAACAUCGGGCGUUCGAAUCGCCCCCGAGAGA
rnacentral:tRNA from 1 species